CGGAGAUUAGCGCAGCGGUAGCGCGCCUACUUUGGGAGUAGGAUGUCGAGUGUUCGAAUCACUCAUCUCCGACCA
rnacentral:tRNA from 1 species